rnacentral:rRNA from 1 species
UACGUAGGGUGCAAGCGUUGUCCGGAAUUAUUGGGCGUAAAGAGCUCGUAGGCGGUUAGUCGCGUCUGCUGUGAAAACUCGGGGCUUAACUCCGGGCCUGCAGUGGGUACGGGCUGACUGGAGUGCGGUAGGGGAGACUGGAAUUCCUGGUGUAGCGGUGAAAUGCGCAGAUAUCAGGAGGAACACCGGUGGCGAAGGCGGGUCUCUGGGCCGUAACUGACGCUGAGGAGCGAAAGCGUGGGGAGCGAACAGG